rnacentral:rRNA from 1 species
AUUGAACGCUGGCGGCAUGCUUUACACAUGCAAGUCGAACGGUAACAGGCCUUCGGGUGCUGACGAGUGGCGAACGGGUGAGUAAUGCAUCGGAACGUACCCAGAGGUGGGGGAUAACGCAGCGAAAGCUGUGCUAAUACCGCAUGUGAUCUGAGGAUGAAAGCGGGGGACCGAGCAGCAAUGUUUGGCCUCGCGCCUUUGGAGCGGCCGAUGUCGGAUUAGCUAGUUGGUGGGGUAAAGGCCUACCAAGGCGACGAUCCGUAGCUGGUCUGAGAGGACGACCAGCCACACUGGGACUGAGACACGGCCAAGACUCCUACGGGAGGCAGCAGUGGGGAAUUUUGGACAAUGGGCGCAAGCCUGAUCCAGCAAUGCCGCGUGCGGGAAGAAGGCCUUCGGGUUGUAAACCGCUUUUGGCAGGAACGAAACGGUGUCCGCUAAUACCGGGCGCUAAUGACGGUACCUGCAGAAUAAGCACCGGCUAACUACGUG